rnacentral:lncRNA from 1 species
GGAGACUCAGGCCCUCCCAAGAGAACAUAUGCAAUGGAACCUUUGUAAGAUUGAUCCACAUGGGUAUCGUAUCCUCCUCUUGCUUCUCUUCUUCAGAACGUGGUGUCCAUUUACUGACAAUCAUCGGAAUCCCCACAAUGUUCCACAUCCCACGCCUGAUAAUCUUCUCCCUUGCUUUAGGAUUCGAAACCUUGAACCUCAUCAUCGUUUCAUUAACUUCAUAGACCUCCACCUUUGCUGCUAGAUCCCCAUAUUUCCAGAUCUUAUUGAGAACCAUAUGGACUUUUGCUACGUGAGGAGCUUGAUCC